rnacentral:piRNA from 1 species
UAUGACUGAGCUGAAGACGCCUUCUUCC